GACGAACGCUGGCGGCGUGCUUAACACAUGCAAGUCGAGCGGAGCGGCGAACGGGUGAGGAACGAGUGAGUAACUGCCCCUCUCUCUGGGAUAACAGUUGGAAACGGCUGCUAAUACAGGAAUGUGGGGGGGGACUCGCGUCCGUCCAGCUUGUGGGUGGGGUAGGGGCCUACCAAGGCGACGACGGGUAGCCGGCCUGUGAGGGCGACCGGCCACAUGGGGCUGAAAUACGGCCCGAACUCCUACUGGAGGCAGCAGUGGGGAAUUGUGCACAAUGGUGGAACCCCUGAUGCAGCAACGCGAGUGCGGGUUGACGGACUUCGGGUUGUAAACCGAUUUCAGCCCUGCCGCGGUAGUGGCAGAAGAAGCACCGGCUAACUACGUGCCAACAGCCGCGGUAAUUC
rnacentral:rRNA from 1 species